rnacentral:ncRNA from 2 species
UUCUUAUCGAGAGAGGUGGAGGGACUGACCCGUUGAAGCCUCGGCAACCAGCGAUUGAAAUGCCCGGUGCCAAGUUCAGUGGACCUAUUGUCCGAAGAUGAGAA